rnacentral:rRNA from 1 species
UACGUAGAAUCCAAGCGUUUGUCCGGAUUUACUGGGUGUAAAGGGUGCGCAGGCGGACUGGUAAGUCUGUGGUGAAAUCUCGCCGCUUAACGGCGAAACUGCCUUAGAUACUAUCAGUCUUGAAUAAGCGAGAGAUCCGUGGAAUUCCGAGUGUAGCAGUGAAAUGUGUAGAUAUUCGGAAGAACACCAGAGGCGAAGGCAGCGGGUUGGCGCUUUAUUGACGCUCAGGCACGAAAGCAUGGGGGAUCAAACAGGG